rnacentral:lncRNA from 1 species
GAAGACAGGAGGGCGGAGCUAAAGGAGAGGGUAUUUUAACGACAUUAACUGUGUUUUUGUGUUAGUAACUCGGAAAGAGAGAGGCUGCCCCAAGUCAGCGCAUUGAAAGCCGCAGACCUAGUGUCUCCAGGCUCCCCCUUCCAAACGGGCGCGGACCUUCUUUCAUAGCCUGUAGCGGGGAGCCGCGUCUCCCCACUGCCUCCCCACUCCCAUCCGGCCGCUCUUUGGAGGGAACUCACACAUCCCAACAUGACGAUGCUUGCUCGGGGGGCCUCCUGGGGGGACCAGGGAGCCACUUCCUUUCCCACAUACUCCGGAAAUUAAAGUUGGUCUCCUUAAGGCUGGAGUGGCAAAUAGUUGUUUUAAGCUUGUCACAAAUGUAACUUACAUUUGGACUAAUGUUUUAAAAAAUAAUUGGAGUUUUGAAUCUACGAAGAUACCUUGGAAGUAAACAUAGUUAUUAUUUUGGUGGGAAAAAAAUGAAUGGACUUGAAAGUGAGUCACCUGUCCUGUUCCCGGGGCUCAGCUCUAGCAAAGUACCUUUCUCCAUCUACAGUCUCCGGCACACAGCUCCGCAGCUGGGGGUGACUAAGAGCCCACACCACGCAAGUAAUAAAACGCUCCAAUUUCAUUUAUUUAAUCAUCUGUGUGCUUCAUUUGACAAAUAUUUAUGGAGUGUCUGCUGCUAGCUCAGUGCCUGGUGCCUGGGACUGAAGACCAGAGCCCCCUGGAGACCAAAAGAGCCAGCUCCCAGCUGUGAGCAGAUCGGGUCCAAAGAUCACGGGCUCGGCGGCAGGAACCUGGUUUGGUAUCCGGCUCCUCUGCGGACUUUGAAGUGCUUUACCGAUUCACAUGACAACUGGUAAAACGAAAACAAACACCUUUCCAGGAAUUGUGAAUUCGAGUUCCAGACCCUCUGGGAUUCCGGGAGCGCAGCUGCUAUUUAUGUUAACAGUCAUUGGUCCCAGGCUGGUGAGGUUAGAAUUUCCAAGUAUAAAAGUAAUUUAGUUUCGUUUUAAAUACAUUUUAGGGCCAAAGAAAAGUGGAACGAUUUAAAGAAAAAGAUGAAAUGAAUAAUAGGGCAAGUUGGGAGGUGGCUGUCCUGAGGUUUCAUGGGACAACAUUAAUUAACCUCAUGAAGUGCCUGCAUGGACAACGUGCCCGGUGUGGUUACAAACAAACCAAUCAGCACAGAUCCUGGGUGGAAAGCAGGGCGCAGCCACGGAGGCACAGUAGGGGUGCAGACUUGAAGGUUUUUAGGAGCAACCUCCAAAAACCCAACUUUGCAAAGAUAUGGCAUCGUCAGAAGAAAUGGGGUGCAAUCUAAUGUUGACAGUGUGGAUGAGAGUGGGACACCUGCCAGUUGUUUGCAUCAGCAGACACUCAGAGUCCAUGGAAAAAAUGAGCCUAGAGGUUUUUAAACCACAACACAAGCAAAAGGCACCUGGUCCCGUUCCUCUUAAGACAGAAGAAAGAGGCGUAAAACCAGCUCCAGGUGCCACCCUUAAGAAAUGUUACAGUGCCGGAUGGGAAGAGUAAACCCUGAACAUCUCUUCUUAAUACUUUACAGACUUCAAGUGUAUUUUAUGGUGACAAAGCAUAUUGAAGACAAAUGAAACUCUACAACCCUGAAAACCAGCCUGAAUUAUUUUGAGAGACAGACAGUGGCUGCAAGGAGAAGCGUCGGGAUUUUCUGGGCUGGCCAUCUCCAGUGUCACUGACCCCGGUCUACCCCUGCAUGUUUGUUUACGGGAAAGGAGUUGAGGAGGAGGAUGUAUGGCUGAGAGCCUGAAAAUAAUCCAGGGCAGGUGGAGCGAGGAGAGGACUUUACUCCUCACACUCAUGUAGGCAUCCUGAAAAGCCACUUUUCUUUCCAAGGUGGGCACGGGCCUUGAGCUUGGAGUGGAGCCAGUUAAAGUUGUCCGCUCUGGGUCGUCAGAUGGAGAUCUUAUCUUGGGUCAUGAAUUGUGGUUUUAGGAGAAAGGCAGAAGCUAAACCCAUCUUCUGUCUGGUGGGGAGGCCCAGCAAAGGGCUCAGAAACACAGCCACAGGCCUCUUGCAGCAGCUGGAUGCACAUUUCAGGAGGUUGCCUGAAAGCAGAAUUGACUUCAGAGAGUAGGGCAGCAGAGCCCAGCCACAGAGUGGUCCCAGGAGCCAGGAAGUGCCACACAGCCCCUCGCUUAUUUUUACUCAGUAUGCCACAGAAGUCCUGACCUGUUAAAAGUGCCCUUUAAGAAUGGCUGGCCCACCCUCUCUCAGAGGGUUCAUGCUGGGGAGAGGGUUCCUGCAUGCCCGCUAAGCUCCAAAUGACAACCCAGGUGUAGAAAGGGCUUAGACUUUAGGGUUCAAACCCAUCCUAGAGUCCGGUCCAAGGCCAGUUACAGCCAAUGGGCAGUGGUAGGUGCAGCCCAGCCCAUUAGCUCAUUCUUGAGCCUCAGAGGGACAGAGCAGCACUAAUGGGUGCACAAAUGGCUAGAAUGUUCACCAACUCCUCGAGAGUGGCAUUGGACAUUUGGGCAAGGGUCUUAUGGAGGCUGAGAGUUGACUGUGGGCUCAUCACAGCUAUUUUGAGGGUCUUGACAGCCCAACUAGCAAACAAUUCUGCAGGGAUGAGAGGUCAGGGCAAAGGGAAAUGGCAUUGUCAAGUGGACAGCCAAAAAGUCCAGGAUGCCCCCAGGUCCUGGGGAACGGCGGGGGAGGAACUCAGGGACUGGAUUACCCACAGGACCUGGUGAGACCCACAGCCACGGGCUGACUUGUGUCCACUCAGAAGCGUAUGUUAAAAUCCUAACCCCCAGUACUUUGGAAUGUGACCUUAUUUGGAAAUAGAGACUUUGAAGAUGAUCAAG